ensembl:lncRNA
CUCAGACUUUAAUUGCAUCUUUUGACAUUUGGUCAAAUCUGAACACCAUUUGUGACAUUAUCUCAUCUAAAACUCUGGUAGAGAUGCUUUGAAAUGUAAAAACUAUCAAGCUAUUGAAGUGACCCUCAUGAUUUUCUUUCAUGCAGACUGACAUGGAUGAUUGCACAUACAGAGAUGAUGCAGGAGGAGGAGUGAAAGCGUCUUCUGUUUAUCAGCAGGUCUGGCAAGAGCUCCAGUCUCCAAUCUGAAUCCAGACAUCUCCUGCUGCUGAAUCACGCCAGUAGGAUUAUGGGAUUCCUCACAAUGAAAGAACAGAUUUAAACAUACCCUUCUAUUCUUCAUCAUCGUGGCAGAGGCCUCCAACCCUACAGGUGGUGAAUUAAAUCUACGGUCUGCUCAAGGAUGGCAGGAAUCCAGACGGACUGAUGGCAGCGCUUGGCCAGGGAAAUGGAAGAUCAGACACAGCCCUCCGCAGCAGUUCUCAGACUCCUGCAGAGAUCCAACAUGGCCUCCUGCACAGCCCAGUUUCAUUAUCGACAGUCCGAUCGCUGGCGAUUGAUCGCACCUCCCCACCCACGGAGCACCAUUUUACCUCGCCCGCUACUCAAUCAGUUCAUAGAGAUAAUAAUUAUGAAGCAUGA